UUGGAUGCUUCAUUGAUUGUAGGUCUGCUGUUGGACGUGUCAUUGAUUGUAGGUCUGCUGUUGGAUGCUUCAUUGAUUGUAGGUCUGCUGUUGGACGCUUCAUUGAUUGUAGGUCUGCUGUUGGAUGCUUCAUUGAUUGUAGGUCUGCUGUUGGACGCUUCAUUGAUUGUAGGUCUGCUGUUGGACGCUUCAUUGAUUGUAGGUCUGCUGUUGGACGCUUCAUUGAUUGUAGGUCUGCUGUUGGACGUGUCAUUGAUUGUAGGUCUGCUGUUGGACGCUUUAUUGAUUGUAGGUCUGCUGUUGGACGCUUCAUUACAUUUGCUGUUAUGUUAGAAUUUAGCCCUGGUUUGGAUGAUGUAUAUCAAUUCAUGCAUUUCCAUAACUGUUACUGCUGUUGAUAUGCAGACCGACACAUUGACUGGUCACUCUGGUAGUUGCCGAUGGUAAGAUUUGCCCACUAAAGACAAAUAGAAGCCUCUGUCUGUGCGGACCCGGGGAGUGCGAUGG